rnacentral:lncRNA from 1 species
CCUACUUCUUGCCUUUUCAGUUCAUCAAGUUUUGUCCUCACAUGGUGACUUACUAAAUCCAGUUCUUUGCUUAGCCUCCCACUCUUUAUUUCCUCUAUGUCUGCUUUCUGGAGCUUUUCUCUGAAGUGUUUAUCUGUUUCCAGCACAUCAAUCACUUGCUUGAGAUAUUCAUCAUAAUAAAGUCCAGUAUCUGGUGGUUCUAUCUUCGCACUUUCCACAGGGUGAAUAUUUUGUACUUUUGUCUUGUCUAUGUCAAUAGGCACAGCUUCAAGAGC